rnacentral:tRNA from 1 species
AAGGGAGACCUAAUUCAGGUAUGGGACGAAAAAAAAGUAGUCGCUACCAAGAAUCAAUCCCAAAAGGUCGGAGCGAGGCAUGAGGCUUUCAAACUAGGUUCUGGGUUCAUAAAAGACCUGAAUCAGGAACAAGGGCUAUUAGCUCAGGUGGUUAGAGCGCACCCCUGAUAAGGGUGAGGUCCCUGGUUCGAGUCCAGGAUGGCCCACCUGCACAGGUGGCAAAAACAAGAGAAGCGAGGAAUCAGCACCUUAUCUUACUUAUAUAGUAGGAGAGAAUGCUGGCUCUGAGUACAGAGUCCAGAGGAACCUUGAAAACUGCAUAGAGCUAGGUGAAAAAGCCAAAAAAGAAGACCGCAA